UACGUAGGGGGCAAGCGUUGUCCGGAUUUAUUGGGCGUAAAGAGCGUGUAGGCGGCUAGGUAGGUCCGUUGUGAAAACUCGAGGCUCAACCUCGAGACGUCGAUGGAAACCAUCUAGCUAGAGUCCGGAAGAGGAGAGUGGAAUUCCUGGUGUAGCGGUGAAAUGCGCAGAUAUCAGGAAGAACACCCGUAGCGAAGGCGGCUCUCUGGUACGUGACUGACGCUGAGACGCGAAAGCGUGGGGAGCAAACAGG
rnacentral:rRNA from 1 species